GCCUGGGUGGCUCAGUCGGUUGGGCGUCUGACUUCGGCUCAGGUCAUGAUCUCAUGGUCCGUGAGUUCGAGCCCCACGUCGGGCU
rnacentral:tRNA from 1 species